CAACUUUUCAAACUGGCCAUUCGGAAAAUCAAAUCUCCUAACCUUUAUGCAAACUUUCCCCUUUGUUGGGAACGUCAUCGGUUCAAGGCGAGAUGAGAAGGUGCUUCCCUUCGAACAUAGGAAAAGAAAGCACUAUUUGAAAUGAAUUCGACACCACUUGUCCACCCAACGUCAUUGCGUGACGUGGAGUAUUGCUGACUGGCGUCUCUAGCGUGAAACUACAAAUGUCGAAGAUGGACCACAACAAGCGCCAUUUUAUGGAAAGAACCCGAUAAGUUUCCCGCGCCCCCUGCCCUCUUCCCUUUGUUCUGAUCCCCUUGGGAAGAGAGUUGGAGUAAGGGCACAAGGGCUAAGGAAGCUACUUGUAUAUGUGUGUAUUCAGUUCUUACAACAUAAUUCCAGAGGCCCCAGGGCCCACCAAUAUGCCGGCGCUGGCCCCCGGUGACAUCAUCAGCGAAUUUUGAAUCGUUGGCCGUAGUGACAGAGUUGAUAGAUAAGUGAACUACUAUGGCCACUGCCUUCACAUCACCUAGCGAUCCUGUUUCUGAUCUCCUUUGUUUGCCUUUUUCAAGGCGAUCGUUUGGAGAGAAGACAGAUUUAAUUUCAAGAGGAAGACCUACAUCGAAGCUGGAUGGGCUGACUCAGGCCGGUAAAGGUUUUGUGCGGCACUUUACAGAGUGCAACUACAGACGCUGUGACUGGCUAACGGCUAGCACCUUUCAGAACAAGCUAUUCUGCUGGCCGUGUUUGCUGCUCAACAUAAGUGAGGGGACAUUGGAACAGCGCCUGAUUUAGCAGUCUUAACAGCUUCACCAAGGCAGCUUUAAAAGAUCAGGCCAUGGGUGAUGGGUGAGUUUUUCUUUGCACUUUGUAGGAGAGAUAAUGUUGUUGUGGUACUUUAGUUUAUAACGCAUUUUUUGUAAUGGUUGGAAACAUAAAUAUAUUGCUGGAAUUUGGGCAGUAGGCUUGAUGGUAAUGCUGUGUGGCGAUGCCAUUUAAUAAGCAUAUUAAAUGAACCCGUUCACUACUACUCCUGUUAGCAUAAUAUUCUGGGUGGAAUAGCUGUUGUAAAAUAUGUGGCAUGAAGGCCUACUUGUAUGUUUCAUUUUUGUUAAUGAACUGGCGUUGCACUUGUAAUGUUAUCGCUAUAGAGCUCGUAAGUCGCCAUUGCUCAUGGGACCUAUGAGACCGAAAAAAAUGAAUGGGAGUCAAUGGAGAGAAAGUAAUUAUUUUCUGAUCCCAGUCAUUAAAUGCCUUGGAUUACACAUGUUUUGUGUGGGUCUAAAUAAAAAAAAUUCACGUAAAGAGUUUGACUGUAUAUUGUAUGAUUAUUCAGCUAAAGGCUGUGGAAAAGACCCAACGAGAAAGACUACACGUCGCAUAUGUGACGUCACUUCAAUACACAUUCCCUCCACUUCUCAACUCACAGUGCUAAUGCUGCGUACCACUGUACCACGGUCUACUGAGCCAUCAAAUCAAGAUGCCUGUGUGUUUUGCACCAGAAUGUCACCUUUCAACCGAGAUGGGCUGUUCAUUUUUUAGAUUCCCGUCUGACAUUAAAACCAGGAAUCACUGGAUAAAACGUAUCCGGUAAGCGAUGUGUGUGAAUUUCGGCGGAAGCAACAAUUGGCGGCAACUAACAUUAACUUAAUGAAGUUUAGUCUUUAUUUCCAUUAUUCCAGUACAUCCAUACCCUUAUUAUUUUUACAGUUUGAUAAAAAUGUAGGUGAGCCUUCUGGAAUUGUGUGGA